AACGCACGAGACCUGCGGACCUGCGGAGGGAUCAUUAGUGAACGCCCUCACGGGCUUAUAACUAUUCCAAACCUCUGUGAACCGUGCCCCUCGGGGCUAUUUUACAAACAUGGUGUAAUGAACGUCAUAUAUCAUAACAAAACAAAACUUUUAACAAUGGAUCUCU
rnacentral:misc_RNA from 1 species